CCCUUAGAUGUUCUGGGCUGCACGCGCGCUACACUGAAGCUAUCAACACGUCUUCCCUCCCUGAGAAGGGCGGGUAACCUUUUGAAUCAGCUUCGUGGUAGGGAUCGGGGCUUGCAAUUGUUCCCCGUGAACCAGGAAUUCCUAGUAGACGCGAGUCAUAAGCUCGCAUCGAUUAAGUCCCUGCCCUUUGUACACACCGCCCGUCGCUACUACCGAUUGAACGUUUUAGUGAGGCAUUUGGACCGACGCAUCUCAGUUUAACCGCUGGUUUGUGUUGGAAAGACUUCCAAACUUGAGCGUUUAGAGGAAGUAAAAGUCGUAACA
rnacentral:rRNA from 1 species